CCUACGGGAGGCAGCAGUGAGGAAUAUUGGUCAAUGGGCGGAAGCCUGAACCAGCCAAGUCGCGUGAGGGAUUAAGGCCCUGCGGGUCGUAAACCUCUUUUGCCGGGGAGCAGUGGUCCGGACGCGUCCGGACCGGGAGCGUCCCCGGACAAAAAGCAUCGGCAAACUCCGUGCCAGACGCCGCGGUACUCCGGAGGAUGCGAGCGUUAGCCGGAUUUAUUGGGUUUAACGGGUGCGUAGGCGGGCAUUUAAGCCGGCGGUCAAAUGUCGGGGCUCAACCCCGGCCUGCCGUCGGAACUGGGUGCCUGGAGUGGGCGAGAAGAAGGCGGAAUGCGUGGUGUAGCGGUGAAAUGCAUAGAGAUCACGCAGAACCCCGAGUGCGAAGGCAGCAUACCGGCGCCCUACUGACGCUGAGGCACGAAAGUGCGGGUAGCGAACAGGAUUAGAUACCCCAGUAGUC
rnacentral:rRNA from 1 species